CCGUAGUGUAGUGGUUAUCACGUUCGCCUCACACGCGAAAGGUCCCCGGUUCGAAACCGGGCGGAAACAACUUUUUUUUUUUUUUCCCCCCCAGUACGGAAUUUUCCGAAAACGUAAAUUUUAAAAAAGUCUGCACCCUACAGAAGCAGCAGGUUCUCCUCUUUUCCUCUACUGCUGCCAGCUCGAGCUGCGGAGCUCUGGGCGCUGUUCCGGUUGGGCCCGGGUCCGGCGCGGGCGGCCGCAGCCCCGGAAGCGCAUCCUCGUUCCCUUCCUGUUCCCGCGGCGCCGGCUCUGCCGCCUUUGCCGUCCCGGGCGCAGCCGGCGGGGGAGCGGUGGACUCAGCCCUCCGGGACACACCGGGCCUCGCCGGCCCUCGGCCCCCCGCGUCCGGAAGGAGCAUCGGUGCCCAGGGAGAAGCGAACCCCCCGGCGCCCCGUCUGGAGGAAAGUCCCGCGGCGGCUCACGUCGGACCUCUCCCUCACAUUCGCACCCGGCCCGCGUCCGCGUCCGCCGAUCUGCCGGGCUCUUCCCGAGGAAAGAAGGCUUGUCCUAUCUCCUGCGGCCACAGGCGCACCCUCGGAUCUCCUCUUUAAAUGUUUUAGCGCUUAGGUCCCCUUAGAUGACUGACGGGAAUGUGAUGUCUUUACCAUCAUAAGAAAAGGGCACUCUUUAUCCAAAGAGCUGUUUGCUUUGUAUCAUUUUAAACGGGGUGCUUAGAGAACCAUUGCCUUUCGCAACCCUGUUACUCCGUCAGUUUCAUACUUUCUGUGGAAAACCCGUGAGUUCAUCUUCAUGCUGGUUCUCUUCACGAGGUAACACCGAGGCCAGCACAGCAGUAAGCUUCCCGUGUGCUCAGACCAAUCUUCGUAAUACGUCUUCAUUCACAGUCACUUCUGAGCCACCCAGACAUAGAAGCAAGUUACUCUGUGCCCUGAAAGACAGCAAAGGUCCCAGGACCUCAGGAGGUGGCAAGGAAGUGUCCUCUUGUCCUCCUGCCAGUGGGUAGGAGUACUCCAGCGGGGAAUAUUCCUGUGUGCCCCUGCUCAACUGCUGGACCAGAUGCGGGUGACCAGAUGUUUGUGAGCUUAGGGCUCACUCUUCUUCAAACCAGAUACGUUCUUGUGAGAGCCAGCAGCAGCCCCACCCUUUUAGACUUUCUGCUUCUUUUCACCUUUUUUGCGCAUUCUCAAUCACUUACCCCCACAGGAAGCUUAUCCUGUGUCCCAGUGUCUGGGAGAUGGAGAACAAAGAGAGUGACUGGCGACAUGUGACCUCCUGCCACUCUAGCGCACUGCAUCUUGCACAGGAACCUUUUAUUUUAUUGUAUCCUUUAUUCUGCAUUCUUUUAUCGCUUUGUGUAUUAUUGCCCUCCUUCCUAAGUGUGGUGUCAGUAAUCCAGGUCUUCUCUCCAGCCCCAGGGCCCUGUCUCCAGAAGUAAAAGCCGGGGUAAGGGCAGCUUUCUGAUUGUGGAGUGAGGCUGAGCCUCCCAAAGUUACAACUGCCUCCCAGAAACCAGUUCAUCAGCCAUAAAGAGAUACAGCUCCAAUGCGCCUUCCAUGAUGUGGUGACUGGGGACAGGGUCAGUGAGCGGUGGGGCAGUGAGCGUUGGAAGAGGUGGGAUUGGGUCUGUGCUUGAGACAGACUCGCUGUUCAAGAGAAAGAAGAUUUUGAAAACGGCAAGGCCUCAGAAUUAACCUAAUCCAAGAUGUGUCCCGAGUUACUGAGCUCCUACACUAUUCCCUCCAGUAUCAGCUGGCUAGUACUGCAGUAAACACUGCCGCAAAAGUAGGUGGCUGACAAGACAGACAUUUAUUUUGUCACCAUUCUGCAGCCUAGAAGGCCAAGAUCAAGGCAUCAACAGGUUUAGUUUCCUCUGAGGCUUCUCUCUGUGGGUCACAGUGAGCCACCUUCUCAUUACAUCCUCACAAAAUCAUCCCCUAUGUUCUUCAUGUCCCAAUUUGCUCUUAUGAGGACAUCAGUCAUAGUGGAUAAGGAUUCAUCCAGAUGACUCAUUUUACCUUCCUGUCCUCAUUAAAGAUGCUUUGUCCAAAUGUGGUUACAGUCUGGGGUAUUGUGGGUUAUAACAUACAAAUUUGAGGGGGUGACAUAAUUCAGCCUGUAACACCUCCUUGUUACUGGCACCGUUCUCUGAAAUUAUUCUCACAGACGAUUGUAGCACACUCAUGUCCUCAUUUAUCAUAUGGAUAUUUGGUUUUAGAAGAAAAAUACUAUUGCUUUUUUAUUCACUGUUUUCUCUUUUUAAAAGGUAUUACUGUCAGUUACUUUAAACCUCCAGGUCAUUUCUAAUGAAAAACUGCAAGUUUUUGUAAUAAGGAUUGAGCAGAUGUUCCUUUUCUUCUGCAGCUGCAGAAGGGCCAGAUACCUUUCCAUAAGAUUAGCAUUUGGAGCACUUGGGAGGCAAAGGCAGGAGGAAUGCUGAGAGUUCAUGGCCAGCCUGAGCUUACUUAGUAAAUUCAAGGACAGCCUGAACUGCAUAGCAAGACCCUGUCUCAAAAAACAAAUGAGAUUAGCAAUUGGGCUUGAAGUGUAGCUUAGUGGUAGAGUACUUACCUAGCAUGUACAAGGCUCUGGAUUUGAUCUCUAGCAGUGGAGAAAGAAAAAUAUAUAUAUAUAUAAAAAUAUAUAUAUAUAAUGUUAUAUUAUGGUAUGAUUUUAUAUAUAUAUAUAUAUGCUAAAUAAGCAGUUAAAUUGGGAACUUUCACAAGAAUUUCAGUCCAGUUAUAUGCAAUGUGAUGAGAAGAGAGUCAAAUAUCUCAUUAAUUUGUUCUAUUCUCUACUAAUGUGAUUUUGUCCUUGGAAAGUUAUUUUUAACAGAAAGGACUUGUUUUAUUCCUAAAACUUUCAACCUUGUUGCCAUGUCUUAGGAAAAUAACUUCACUAUCUGCUAGAUAAUUUCUUGUCCUUGAAAUUCGCGUUCUCUGCCUUUCUAAAAACUAUAAUGUUACUUGUAGGAUUUAUCUGCUAGUUAAUAAUUUUCCUUUUCUUUCACAUGUUGCAUGAAUAUUUUUAAUGACUUGGUCAUAUUAUUGAACAAAUUAUUUCUCCCC
ensembl:lincRNA